rnacentral:rRNA from 1 species
UACAGAGGUCCCGAGCGUUGUUCGGAUUUAUUGGGCGUAAAGGGUGCGUAGGCGGCGGAGUAAGUUGGGUGUGAAAUCCCGAGGCUCAACCUCGGAAUUGCAUUCAAUACUGCUUCGCUCGAGUACUGGAGAGGAGGCUGGAAUUUACGGUGUAGCAGUGAAAUGCGUAGAUAUCGUAAGGAAGGCCGGUGGCGAAAGCGAGCCUCUGGACAGUUACUGACGCUGAUGCACGGAGGCCAGGGGAGCAAACGGG